rnacentral:rRNA from 1 species
UACGUAGGUGACAAGCGUUGUCCGGAUUUACUGGGCGUAAAGCGCGCGCAGGCGGUCGAUCAAGUCGAGUGUGACAGCCCCCGGCUCAACUGGGGAGGGUCCUUCGAAACUGAGCGACUUGAGGGCAGGAGAGGGUAGUGGAAUUCCCGGUGUAGUGGUGAAAUGCGUAGAUAUCGGGAGGAACACCAGUGGCGAAGGCGACUACCUGGCCUGUUCUUGACGCUGAGGCGCGAAAGCUAGGGGAGCAAACGGG